rnacentral:rRNA from 1 species
GCCUCUGACCUUACCUGAAAAGAGGAAACCGAUCUCGUCUGAUCUCGGAAAGCUAAGCAGAGUCGAGCCUGGUUAGUACUUGGAUGGGAGACCACCUAGGAAGACCAGAUGCUGUAGGCG